rnacentral:rRNA from 1 species
AUUGAACGCUGGCGGCAGGCUUAACACAUGCAAGUCGAGCGGGGUGAUGGUGCUUGCACUAUCACUUAGCGGCGGACGGGUGAGUAAUGCUUAGGAAUCUGCCUAUUAGUGGGGGACAACAUCUCGAAAGGGAUGCUAAUACCGCAUACGUCCUACGGGAGAAAGCAGGGGAGCACUUGUGACCUUGCGCCUAUAGAUGAACCUAAGGCUGAUUAGCUAGUUGGUGGGGUAAAGGUCGACCAAGGCGACGAUCUGUAGCGGGUCUGAGAGGAUGAUCCGCCACACUGGGACUGAAACACGGCCCAGACUCCUACGGGAGGCAGCAGUGGGGAAUAUUGGACAAUGGGGGGAACCCUGAUCCAGCCAUGCCGCGUGUGUGAAGAAGGCCUUAUGGUUGUAAAGCACUUUAAGCGAGGAGGAGGCUCUUUUGGUUAAUACCCAAGAUGAGUGGACGUUACUCGCAGAAUAAGCACCGGCUAACUCUGUGCCAGCCGCCGCGGUAA